rnacentral:tRNA from 1 species
UCCCCUGUAGCUAAGCCAGUAAAGAGUCUGCCUGCAAUUCAGGAGACCCAGGUUCGUUUCCUGGGUUGGGAA